AAUUGGAGAGUUUGAUCCUGGCUCAGGACGAACGCUGGCGGCGUGCCUAAUACAUGCAAGUCGAGCGGAGUCACUUUGAAAGCUUGCUUUCAAAGUGACUUAGCGGCGGACGGGUGAGUAACACGUAGGCAACCUGCCCCUUAGACUGGGAUAACUACCGGAAACGGUAGCUAAUACCGGAUAAUUUCUUUCUUC
rnacentral:rRNA from 1 species